rnacentral:rRNA from 1 species
GAUGAACGCUGGCGGCGUGCCUAAUACAUGCAAGUCGAGCGAACGGACGAGAAGCUUGCUUCUCUGAUGUUAGCGGCGGACGGGUGAGUAACACGUGGAUAACCUACCUAUAAGACUGGGAUAACUUCGGAAAACCGGAGCUAAUACCGGAUAAUAUUUUGAACCGCAUGGUUCAAAAGUGAAAGACGGUCUUGCUGUCACUUAUAGAUGGAUCCGCGCUGCAUUAGCUAGUUGGUAAGGUAACGGCUUACCAAGGCAACGAUGCAUAGCCGACCUGAGAGGGUGAUCGGCCACACUGGAACUGAGGCACGGUCCAGACUCCUACGGGAGGCAGCAGUAGGGAAUCUUCCGCAAUGGGCGAAAGCCUGACGGAGCAACGCCGCGUGAGUGAUGAAGGUCUUCGGAUCGUAAAACUCUGUUAUUAGGGAAGAACAUAUGUGUAAGUAACUGUGCACAUCUUGACGGUACCUAAUCAGAAAGCCACGGCUAACUACGUG